rnacentral:lncRNA from 1 species
AUCGGGCCUUCGACUUUGCUCAUGUUAGGGCGAGGUUCUCCUCUUGUCCCUAACAUGGCUGCGGGGGCGCGUAUGGGCGCUAUAGGGCCUCUCCCUCCAUCCGAUCUAAGGAGAACCGGGUCUUCGACUUUGCUCAAGUUAGGACGAGGUUCUCCUCCUGUCCCUAACAGGGCUGUGGGGGCACAUAUGGGCAUUGUAGGGCCUCUCCCC